rnacentral:rRNA from 1 species
CACGUAGGGCGCAAGCGUUGUCCGGAAUUAUUGGGCGUAAAGAGCUCGUAGGCGGUCUGUUGCGUCCGCUGUGAAAACUCGGGGCUUAACCCCGAGCCUGCAGUGGAUACGGGCAGACUAAAGGUAGGUAGGGGAGAAUGGAAUUCCCGGUGUAGCGGUGAAAUGCGCAGAUAUCGGGAGGAACACCAGUGGCGAAGGCGGCUUCCUGGACCUGUUCUGACACUGAGGAGCGAAAGCGUGGGGAGCGAUCCGG